AGGGGCAGAGGCACGCACGGAGCGAGCGGUGGCUGCGAGGGGCAGCGCAGGGCAGGGCACCCCGCUGGAGUUCAGGCCAGCUCCGUGCCGGCGGAGCGGAGAGACCCCAGGUGUACACAGAGGGGGAGGGAAUUAGGCAACAAUAAGCAGCCGGCCGGCCAAGCCACCACGCCACUGCAUCCGAGCAGCACCUAGGGCAGGCGGACGGUCCCAAGUGCAGAGCAGCAGCAGCGAUACUAUGGAGCAGGAGAAAUAUUUGCCCGAGCUGAUGGCAGAGAAGGACAGCCUGGACCCGUCCUUUGUUCAUGCAAUGCGCCUCCUGGCUGAAGAAAUUGAAAAAUUUCAGGGUUCUGAUGGGAAAAAGGAAGAUGAAGAAAAGAAAUACCUUGAUGUCAUCAGCAACAAAAACAUAAAGCUGUCAGAAAGAGUACUGAUCCCUGUCAAACAGUAUCCCAAGUUCAAUUUUGUUGGGAAAUUGCUUGGACCAAGAGGCAACUCCUUGAAGAGGUUACAGGAGGAGACAGGUGCAAAAAUGUCUAUCCUGGGCAAAGGUUCCAUGAGGGAUAAAGCUAAGGAAGAAGAACUAAGGAAAAGUGGGGAAGCCAAAUAUUCACACUUGAGCGACGAGCUUCAUGUUCUAAUUGAAGUGUUUGCUCCACCUGGGGAAGCUUAUUCACGUAUGAGUCAUGCCUUGGAAGAGAUUAAAAAAUUCCUUGUUCCAGACUACAAUGAUGAAAUCCGUCAGGAGCAGUUGAGAGAAUUGUCAUACUUGAAUGGUUCUGAAGAUUCAGCACGUGGACGGGGCAUUCGUGGAAGAGGAAUCCGGGUAACACCUGCAGCUCCAUCAAGAGGACGUGGGGGUGCGAUUCCUCCUCCCCCACCUGGGCGAGGUGCCCAAACACCUAGAGGGACACCAGUGACACGUGGAGCACUCCCAGUUCCUCCUAUAGCUAGGGGCGUUCCGACCCCUCGAACAAGGGGAACUCCAGCAGUUCCAGGCUACAGACCACCCCCUCCUCCAGCACAUGAGGCCUAUGAAGAAUAUGGAUAUGAUGAUGGAUAUGGGGGUGAAUAUGAUGACCCAAGCUAUGAGGCAUAUGAUAACAGUUAUGCCACCCAAACACAGAGUGUGCCUGAAUAUUAUGAUUAUGGUCAUGGAACAAGUGAAGAUGCUUAUGACAGCUACGCACAAGAAGAAUGGGCCACAACCCGUUCCAGCCUAAAGGCACCACCUCCAAGGUCAGCCCGAGGGGGUUACAGGGAACACCCCUAUGGUAGAUAUUGAAGGUCCUCCUCAUCUGUGACCUCAACUCAAAGACAAUUAAUAGCCUGUGGUCUCCACAUAAACAGCAACAAGACAAGGACACACAGGCAAUGGACAGCUAAGCAGCAGAUGAACUGAGAAGUGUUCAGGUACAGAGCACUUCAUUAUGUGCACGAACAGAAAUGCUUAAACAGAUGAAGCAGCUAUUUGCAUCUGAUAGGAACUAAGUGGGACAUUAAAUUAAUGCCAAACAAGUACCAUGCAAAGUUCACUUUUCAAGUCAGAUGCUGAUUACCCACAGAGAUCAGGAAGCAAUCCUUCCUCCUACACAUGGUUAUCCCACUUCCCCACACAGCUCUGCACAAUUGGCUGGGAGCAUUAUAGGAGUUUUCAGCUUCCUUGAAAGCAUCAGAUAAUGACCAUUCGAGAGACAAGAUCCUGGACUAGCUGGAUAAAUGGUCCUGAUUUUCAGAGUUGGUGAGCUUCCACAACUGCCCUUGACUGCAGGUGUAUCAGCAUUUCUGAAAAUAAAGCCUGAGACACAUAAGGAGGAUUCCAAUUGAUCAAGGUGAAAAGAGAGGAAAGACAUCAGCUGUUUUUUUUCAUACAAGGAAUUUAUAUGGACAGUGCUGGUUACACCAGGAGAGUUUCACUAUUCAGUCUGAAGAACAAAAUGAGAAUCAGUAAAAAUGUAUUUCCACCAAUAAGUAAAAAUCAUGAGAAUUUUUAAAUGGACAUUUUGACAUUCAAACUACAUUUUCCAAAGGUUAAUAAGACUGUAAAGUUGCAAGAAAUGUGUGACAAGCAAAUCAAAACACAGCAUUUUGAAAGGUCAAAAUGGGACAUUAUAUCCUUAUUAUCCCAAGAAUACAAGAGUGUAAUACCCUGGCACUAUUUGAAAAAAGAUUUUAAUCAAGAGCUGAAAAUGGAACAACUUUAUUUCUUUCUUUGACAAAGUUUAUAACAAGGCUGUGAAAUAAAUCUCUUCCUGUUGUAAUCUUCCAAGUGUGGAUCCUACUUGUAUGUCAAAGACCUAAACUAUAUGAAAGAGUCCAUACUCAUAUUAUGCAUUUCAUCAGUAUCUAUAACUAUAUACAGUGGAUAUCUUUUAGAAUCCAACAUUUGCCUUCUGAAAUCACACAUGCCCAUUUUAGCUGACGCAUUGCGUAUCUGUUUUACAUUGGCUCCUUCCUCAAGAUAUGGAGACAUUUUAAGGCAAAGGAAUUUACAGUGCAGCCAGUGGCUUAGUAGCAAACUACUAAACAUAUGAAACUGUCAUGAUCUGAUCUAGCGAGUUUAGUCAUUACACACGUGAAGACUCUUCCUCUAGGACUACAGGUCUGAGGAAACAAAAGCUAAGCUAUAAGAACUUGAAGUGUUACAUUUUUCAACACCUAAACAUAUCUUUAAGGCUCCUGUGCCCAAGACUAUUUUUAAUU